rnacentral:rRNA from 1 species
CGGGAUGUUCGGAAGGGGUUGAAGAAGAGCUUGCUCUUUGAUUCAGCGGCGGACGGGUGAGCUAAUGCCUAGGAAUCUGCCUGGUAGUGGGGGACAACGUUUCGAAAGGAACGCUAAUACCGCAUACGUCCUACGGGAGAAAGCAGGGGACCUUCGGGCCUUGCGCUAUCAGAUGAGCCUAGGUCGGAUUAGCUAGUUGGUGAGGUAAUGGCUCACCAAGGCGACGAUCCGUAACUGGUCUGAGAGGAUGAUCAGUCACACUGGAACUGAGACACGGUCCAGACUCCUACGGGAGGCAGCAGUGGGGAAUAUUGGACAAUGGGCGAAAGCCUGAUCCAGCCAUGCCAGCGGGUGUGAAGAAGGUCUUCGGAUUGUAAAGCACUUUAAGUUGGGAGGAAGGGCAUUAACCUAAUACGUUAGUGUUUUGACGUUACCGACAGAAUAAGCACCGGCUAACUUCGUGCCAGCAGCCGCGGUAAU